rnacentral:rRNA from 1 species
AUUGAACGCUGGCGGCAGGCCUAACACAUGCAAGUCGAACGGCAGCACAGAAGAGCUUGCUCUUUGGGUGGCGAGUAGCGGACGGGUGAGUAAUGUCUGGGAAACUGCCCGAUGGAGGGGGAUAACUACUGGAAACGGUAGCUAAUACCGCAUAACGUCGCAAGACCAAAGUGGGGGACCUUCGGGCCUCACACCAUCGGAUGUGCCCAGAUGGGAUUAGCUAGUAGGUGGGGUAAUGGCUCACCUAGGCGACGAUCCCUGGCUGGUCUGAGAGGAUGACCAGCCACACUGGAACUGAGACACGGUCCAGACUCCUACGGGAGGCAGCAGUGGGGAAUAUUGCACAAGGGGCGCAAGCCUGAUGCAGCCAUGCCGCGUGUAUGAAGAAGGCCUUCGGGUUGUAAAGUACUUUCAGCGGGGAGGAAGGCGGUGAGGUUAAUAACCUCGCCGAUUGACGUUACCCGCAGAAGAAGCACCGGCUAACUCCGUGCCAGCCGCCGCCGUAA